rnacentral:rRNA from 1 species
CCUACGGGGGGCUGCAGUCGAGAAUCAUUCACAAUGGGGGAAACCCUGAUGGUGCGACGCCGCGUGGGGGAAUGAAGGUCUUCGGAUUGUAAACCCCUGUCAUGUGGGAGCGAAUUAAAAGGAUAGUACCACAAGAGGAAGAGACGGCUAAGUCUGUGCCAGCAGCCGCGGUAAUACAGAGGUGGCAAGCGUUGUUCGGAUUCACUGGGUGUAAAGUGUGGGUAGGCUGUGUAGUAAGUCGUGUGUGAAAGGCGCGGGCUCAACCCGCGGACGGCACAUGAUACUGCGAGACUAGAGUAAUGGAGGGGGAACCGGAAUUCGUGGUGUAGCAGUGAAAUGCGUAGAUA